UUUUGCAAAUGACAGGAUAGUAUAGAAAGAAUGACACGGGAGUGGAGUUGAGUGAUGGUUACUCAAGCUGACUGUCUUGACCACUGUUUAUUAUGCUUACAUUCUACUACAUACCCCACAAACAUGUAGAAUUAAAAAUCAAAUUUAGUUUAAAAAUCAAAUUUUAGAAAAGAAAAUAUAUAUAAGAAAUUAGGGUCCAUUUGCCAUAAAAAUUUUCCCACCCCAUAUUGUAGGGAACUUUGAAACAUAAUAAAAGUUUAUGAAAAACUUUUAAUUCAUGUUCUCUUUACUGGUAAAAAGUUUGUAUUUAACCUAUUUUUUUUUCUAAGACAACACUAGUUGAGUGGUUUGGUUUCUAACUUGCAUGAUUAGAAGCUUCAUUUAGAUUUUUGCUAGGUCUCAGUGUCUGACCAUUACUGAAUGAAAGGAGGGAGUAAUUAGAUAUUGGAAGAGCUUGAACGUAAGAUUCAUUUUAAAUUGAUAAACUAUUUGCUAAGGAAUUCUUCAUAGUAUUUGUAGCUGCAAUGUGCAUUUUGUAGGGCAGAGGCUUACACUGAAUGUUUUCCUAUUUUUCUCUCCCUCCUGCCUUUAAAAAAAC
rnacentral:lncRNA from 1 species